AUACCCACCACCGGCACUUCCAUAACUCUGAGCAGCUGUUCCACUAUAUCCUCCAUAGUCCAUAACUACUGCCGGCCUCUAGAACCAUAGGAUUGAUCUAUUAACGAGAAAGGUCUCAGCUGGUACCCACCUUUAAACUAGACCCUGAAAUUUGCUUCCUUUCUGGUUAUGGUGAAUUGGGUUUUGGAGCUUUGGGUUUUGAUUUGUGAAGCGAAUUUUUCUCUGGGUUUCACAAGAGGAGGAAGAAGAGAAGAAGCAAUGGGAGGCUCUCAGGCAAAAAGGGGAUGAGUUGAUCUCACCAUGCUUUUGCAAAGGCACCCAGCAGUUUGUGCAUACAUCCUGUCUUGAUCACUGGCGCUCGGUUAAGGAAGGAUUUGCUUUCUCACACUGCACCACUUGCAAAGCCCAAUUUCAUCUUCAAGUUGAAUCCUAUGAGGACAACUCUUGGCGUAAAAUUAAGUUCAAAUUUUUUUGUGGCAAAGGAUGCUUUACUUGUAUUUGUGGCUGUACAAACAGGAAUUACCGCAAUUGGUGGCUUUGCAUAUUUGAUGGACAAAGAUGGUGGCUUCAGGAAUUCAUUCAGUGAUGGUUGGGAUCGUAUAUUGUCAAAGCACUCUAUACCAUUUUACUAUUGCAUAGGUAAACUCUUACAGAGACAUUACCAAAUCCUGCCAGAUUCCCUCUUGGUAUAUUGUCAGGAUAUGGUUAGUUGCAGUGUUGCACACAGUGAUUAGCUUUCCAUGAACUUAGAAGAAAUUUUCUAAUCUGAAAACUACUUU